ensembl:lncRNA
CUUUGAUAAAUAGGACACUUAUUUCAAAUCAAAAUCGUAUCACAUUUUAUUGGUCACAUACACAUGUUUAGCAGAUAUUAUUGUGGGUGUAGCGAAAUGCUUGUAGUUCUAGCUCCAACUGUGCAGUAAUAUCUAACAAGUAAUAUUUAACAAUUUCACAACAUAUACCCAACACACACAAAUCUAUGUAUUUGAAUCUAGGCUUCUCUGUAGACAUGAUCCAUCCCACCAGAGGGUGGAGGGGCACCUGAAAUAGUGGUUUUGACCAGAUAGACUCCUGCAGAAAAACAGUAUAGUAUCUCCAAUGUACUCUCCUAAGACUGGAUUGUUCUUUACCACGUAUCACAUGACCGUGUACAAAACUGCCAAAGGUAAAAAAGUCUGCCAGUGGUCGAAAAGUCUAGUGCAUUAGUACUAGCUAUAGGGUGUAGGGUAUUAGUAUUAGUAUUAGCUAUAGGGUGAAGGGAAUUAGUAUUAGCUAUAGGGAUUAGGGUAUUAGUAUGAGCUAAAGGGUGAAGGGUAUUAGUAUAAGCUAUAGGGUGUAGGGUAUUAGCUAUAGGGUGUAGGGUAUUAGUAUUAGCUUUACGGUGCAGGGUAUUAGUAUUAGCUAUAGGUGAAGGGUAUUAGUAUUAGCUCUCGGGUGUAGGGUAUUAGUAUUAGUAUUAGCUAUAUGAUGUAGGGUCUUAGUAUUAGCUAUAGGUUGUAGGGUAUUAGUAUUAGCUUUUGGGUUUGGGGAAUUAGUAUUAGCUAUAGGGUGUAGGGUAUUAGUAUUAGCUAUAGGGUGCAGGGAAUAAGUAUUAGCUAUAGGGUGUAGGGUAUUAGUAUUAGUAUUAGCUAUAUGCUGUAGGGUCUUAGUGUUAGCUAUAGGGUGUAGGGUAUUAGUAUUAGCUUUAUGGUGCAGGGUAUUAGUAUUAGUAUUAGCUAUAGGUGAAGGGUAUUAGUAUUAGCUCUAGGGUGUACGGUAUUAGUAUUAGUAUUAGCUAUAUGAUGUAGGGUCUUAGUAUUAGCUUAUUAGUAUAUUAGUAUAUUAGUAUUAGCUUUUGGGUUUGGGGAAUUAGUAUUAGCUAUAGGGUGUAUGGUAUUAGUAUUAGCUAUAGGGUGCAGGGAAUAAGUAUUAGCUAUAGGGUGGAGGGUAUUAGUAUUAGUAUUAGCUAUAGGUGUAGGGUAUUAGUAUUAGCUGUAGGGUGUACGGUAUUAGUAUUAGUAUUAGCUAUAUGGUGUAGGGUCUUAGUAUUAGCUAUAAGGUGUAGGGUAUUAGUAUUAGUGUUAGCUAUAGGGUGUAGGGUAUUAGUAUUAGCUAUAUGGUGUAAGGUCUUAGUAUUAGCUAUAGGGUGUAGGGUAUUACUAUUAGCUAUAGGGUGUAGGGUAUUAGUAUUAGCUAUAGGGUGUAGGGUAUUAGUAUUAGUACUAGCUAUAGGGUGUAGGGUAUUAGUCUUAGCUUUUGGGUGUGUGGAAUUAGUGUUGGUAUUAGCUAUAGGGUAUUAGUAUUAGCAACAGGUUGUUGGGUAUUAGUAUUAGCUAUAGGGUGAAGGGUAUUAGUAUUAGUAUUAGCUAUGGGUGUAGGGUAUAAGUAUUAGCUGUAGGAUGUAGGGUAUUAGUUUUAGAAUUUGCUAUAAGGUGUAAGGUAUUAGCUAUAGGGUGUAGGGUAUUAGUAUUAGCUAUAGGGUGUAGGGUAUAAGUAUUAGCUAUAGGAUGUAGGGUAUGAGUUUUAGUAUUUGCUAUAGUGUGUAGGGUAUUAUAUAUUAGUAUUAGCUAUAGGAUGUAGGGUAUUAGUGUUAGCUAUAGGGUGUAGGGUAUUAGUAUUAGUAUUAGCUAUAUGGUACUAGUAUUAGCAAUAGGGUUAGGGUAUUAGUGUUAGCAAUAGGGUGUAGGGUAUUAGGUAUUAGCUAUAGGGUGUAGGGUAUUAGUUUUAGUAUUUGCUAUAGUGUGUAGGGUAUUAUAUAUUAGUAUUAGCUAUAGGAUGUAGGGUAUUAGUGUUAGCUAUAGGGUGUAGGGUAUUAGUAUUAGUAUUAGCUAUAGGGUGUAGGGAAUUAGUAUUAGUAUUAGCUAUUGGGUGUAGGGUAUUAGUAUAGUAUUAGCUAUAAGGUGUAUGGUAUUAGUAUUAGCUAUAGGGUAUUAGGUAUUAGUAUUAGUAUUAGCUAUUGGGUGUAGGGUAUUAAUAUAGUAUUAGCUAUAAGGUGUAUGGUAUUAGUAUUAGCUAUAGGUGUAGGGUAUUAUUAUUAGUAUUAGCUAGGGUAUCAG